ACGACUAUACUUGAACAGGAUCUGUUCUAUAGUACGUACAUCUUGAUCUGUGAUCUCUAUCAUAGACAAGUCCCUUAACCCGGACGAUGAGCAGUGGCUUGAAUGCCAGUGCGCGAAUACUGCUGGCCGUGCCGGGCGAGAGCCUGCGCUCGGUGAGCUUGAUGAACGUCCUGCCGCGCUCAUUCCGCCGGCGGUGAAGGCAUUCAAGCGUUCUGACGGGUA
rfam:Marchantia polymorpha subsp. polymorpha scaffold2839, whole genome shotgun sequence.